AUUGAACGCUGGCGGCAGGCCUAACACAUGCAAGUCGAACGAGUGGCGGACGGGUGAGUAAUGUCUGGGAAACUGCCCGAUGGAGGGGGAUCACUACUGGAAACGGUAGCUAAUACCGCAUACCAUCGGAUGUGCCCAGAUGGGAUUAGCUAGUAGGUGGGGGAAAGGCACACCUAGGCGCCGCUCCCUAGCUGGUCUGAGAGGGUGACCAGCCACACGGGAACUGAGACACGGGCCAGACUCCUACGGUAGGCAGCAGUGGGGAAUAUUGCACAAGGGGCGAAAGCCUGAUGCAGCCAUGCCGCGUGUAUGAAGAAGGCCUUCGGGUUGUAAAGUACUUGCAGCGGGGAGGCGUUACCCGCAGAAGAAGCACCGGCUAACUCCGUGCCAGCAGCCGCGGUAAUUC
rnacentral:rRNA from 1 species